rnacentral:rRNA from 1 species
GAUGAACGCUAGCGGCAGGCUUAAUACAUGCAAGUCGUGGGGCAGCAGGUCUGUAGCAAUACAGAUGCUGGCGACCGGCAAACGGGUGCGUAACACGUACGCAACCUUCCCGUUACUGGGGAAUAGCCCAGGGAAACUUGGAUUAAUACCCCAUAUUAUAUUGGUUAGGCAUCUGACUGAUAUCAAAGCUUCGGCGGUAAUGGAUGGGCGUGCGGUUGAUUAGGUAGUUGGCGGGGUAACGGCCCACCAAGCCUACGAUCAAUAGCUGAUGUGAGAGCAUGAUCAGCCACACGGGCACUGAGACACGGGCCCGACUCCUACGGGAGGCAGCAGUAAGGAAUAUUGGGCAAUGGACGAAAGUCUGACCCAGCCAUGCCGCGUGAAGGAUGAAGGUCCUCUGGAUUGUAAACUUCUUUUAUCUGGGGCGAAAAUCGGUUAUUCUUAGCCGCUUGACAGUACCAGAUGAAUAAGCACCGGCUAACUCCGUGCCAGCCGCCGCUGUAA